UAUUAAUGUUGUAACCUGCUGUCGGUGGCAUCAGUACUAAAGUAAAGCUUAAAUACUGUGCUGGUGACUGCCAAAGUGGAUGCAUCAAUAUAGGCAUUGCAAUAACACUUUCUGUGUGCUGUGACGCUGACCUUUGUAACAGCCAAGAUGCUCCGGACCCCAGCUCUCUUGUCCCCAGUGGAAAGAAAUGUUACUCUUGUGAUGGACAGAGCUUCUCAAACAUAUUGAGCUGUUCAGGGAGUGAAGAGCACUGCAUUUCAGCAACAGGGAGUUUCAGAGGCCAAUCAGUGGUUGUAAAGGCUGUGUCUCUGAAUAUAUUUCUAAUACAACAACAUCUGCUGCUCAGGGAGCCUCACACUGUGAGGGGAACCUGUGUAACGGUGUUUAGAGUUUCCUUCUGAAAUCAUUCUAACAUGCUGAUUUAUUAUCAGUGUUGGAAACAGUUGUGCUGCUUAAUUUUUUAUUUUUUUUUGGAACCUGUGAUACUAUUUUGGGGUUCAUUGAUAAAUAAAAAGAACCGCAUUUAUUCAAAAUAGAAAUGUUUUCUAACAAUAAAAAUCUUCACUAUCCCUUUUUCUAUAAAUUUAACAUCCUUGCUGAAUAAAUUUAAUUUCUUUAAAAAUAAAUAAAUAAAAUAAAUAAAAUACUGACCUCAAGCUUUUAAACAGUGUGUAUUGUUACAAAAGUUAGCAUUUA